rnacentral:rRNA from 1 species
GAACGCUAGCUACAGGCUUAACACAUGCAAGUCGAGGGGCAGCAUGGUCUUAGCUUGCUAAGGCCGAUGGCGACCGGCGCACGGGUGAGUAACACGUAUCCAACCUGCCGUCUACUCUUGGACAGCCUUCUGAAAGGAAGAUUAAUACAAGAUGGCAUCAUGAGUCCGCAUGUUCACAUGAUUAAAGGUAUUCCGGUAGACGAUGGGGAUGCGUUCCAUUAGAUAGUAGGCGGGGUAACGGCCCACCUAGUCUUCGAUGGAUAGGGGUUCUGAGAGGAAGGUCCCCCACAUUGGAACUGAGACACGGUCCAAACUCCUACGGGAGGCAGCAGUGAGGAAUAUUGGUCAAUGGGCGAGAGCCUGAACCAGCCAAGUAGCGUGAAGGAUGACUGCCCUAUGGGUUGUAAACUUCUUUUAUAAAGGAAUAAAGUCGGGUAUGGAUACCCGUUUGCAUGUACUUUAUGAAUAAGGAUCGGCUAACUCCGUGCCAGCAGCCGCGGUAAUACGGAGGAUCCGAGCGUUAUCCGGAUUUAUUGGGUUUAAAGGGAGCGUAGAUGGAUGUUUAAGUCAGUUGUGAAAGUUUGCGGCUCAACCGUAAAAUUGCAGUUGAUACUGGAUAUCUUGAGUGCAGUUGAGGCAGGCGGAAUUCGUGGUGUAGCGGUGAAAUGCUUAGAUAUCACGAAGAACUCCGAUUGCGAAGGCAGCCUGCUAAGCUGCAACUGACAUUGAGGCUCGAAAGUGUGGGUAUCAAACAGGAUUAGAUACCCUGGUAGUCCACACGGUAAACGAUGAAUACUCGCUGUUUGCGAUAUAUAGCAAGCGGCCAAGCGAAAGCGUUAAGUAUUCCACCUGGGGAGUACGCCGGCAACGGUGAAACUCAAAGGAAUUGACGGGGGCCCGCACAAGCGGAGGAACAUGUGGUUUAAUUCGAUGAUACGCGAGGAACCUUACCCGGGCUUAAAUUGCAGAUGAAUUACGGUGAAAGCCGUAAGCCGCAAGGCAUCUGUGAAGGUGCUGCAUGGUUGUCGUCAGCUCGUGCCGUGAGGUGUCGGCUUAAGUGCCAUAACGAGCGCAACCCUUGUUGUCAGUUACUAACAGGUUCCGGUGAGGACUCUGACAAGACUGCCAUCGUAAGAUGUGAGGAAGGUGGGGAUGACGUCAAAUCAGCACGGCCCUUACGUCCGGGGCUACACACGUGUUACAAUGGGGGGUACAGAGGGCCGCUACCACGCGAGUGGAUGCCAAUCCCAAAAACCUCUCUCAGUUCGGACUGGAGUCUGCAACCCGACUCCACGAAGCUGGAUUCGCUAGUAAUCGCGCAUCAGCCACGGCGCGGUGAAUACGUUCCCGGGCCUUGUACACACCGCCCGUCAAGCCAUGGGAGCCGGGGGUACCUGAAGUGCGUAACCGCGAGGAGCGCCCUAGGGUAAAACUGG